UUCAGAGGGGGACAACAGUUGGAAACGACUGCUAAUACCGCAUACGAUCUGACCUCGGCAUCGAGGAUGGAUGAAAGGUGGCCUCUAUUUAUAAGCUAUCACUGAAGGAGGGGAUUGCGUCUGAUUAGCUAGUUGGAGGGGUAACGGCCCACCAAGGCGAUGAUCAGUAGCCGGUCUGAGAGGAUGAACGGCCACAUUGGGACUGAGACACGGUCCAA
rnacentral:rRNA from 1 species